rnacentral:tRNA from 1 species
GCCAGUUUAGCUCAGUGGAUAGAGCAUCGGCCUGUGAACUGAAAGGUCCUGGGUUCGAUUCCCGGUCAGGGCA